rnacentral:piRNA from 1 species
UCAAAAUGCUGAAAAGUCUUACUCAGGAAA